AUGUGCCGGCCGGUCGCUGGCGUACCGCUGGAUCGCCCAGCGAUUCUAUGGCUAACACGUCUACAGAUUCAUUUGUUUGCGUUGUUGGAUUUUCCUCCUCAGCCUCCUACAUGCCCUUGGCCCAUCAUGGCUGCUAUUUUUUUCUCUCAGUCCUCCGAUGCGUCGUCCGGCGAGCUGCGACCGUGGCGGCCGCGUGCUGGAACCAGCGAUUUUUUUGCUACAUCCAUUCAAGUCGGAGCUACGGCCGACGGCCUUUUGCUGCAAUCGUCGUCAGUUGUUACAAUCGGUGAGAAAAUUUGUUACAUUCAUUUUAUGGCAGAGAUGCGACCAGAGACGGCGGCGAGGAUAAUUUUUUCUGGACCGUAA
rnacentral:rRNA from 1 species